UGAUGACACGUUCUCCGGAAUCUCUGUACUCCCUUGAUGAUUAGAGUUGAACCCUUUUAACUGAUGACUGCUGGUGGCUGAU
ensembl:snoRNA SNORD68 small nucleolar RNA MBII-202